AUCAGAACUGAAAAUAAAUCAUAUUAAUACGCUGUCAUCAGAAACAAGUACACUUUGAUACGCUAAUACACAUUACUUCAGGUUCAGUGCACCUAAACACUGCUGCAUAUUGACAUGUUGCAACAUCUCUCUGUCAGGGUGAUAAGCAUCCCAGUGAGUGCUGCACUGGCUGAGGAAGUGCUUUACAGAAGGGCUGACUUGAUGUUUCAUGCUACAGUGAAGUAUUUCACAGUGGGAAAAGCCAGGAUUCUGAUCCCCCUGCCCCGUAAACACGUGCUCUUGACUGAAAACAUCUGAUGCAUCAGCAGUGCCAGGACUGGGCACGCAGCUGAUCCUGCUGUCUCCACGGGAGGGCAGAGCUGCUCACAUAUUAGACAUUAUGACACAAGAACAUUUACAUCAUCUUAUAAAGUCUGUGACUUCAGUAUCAGAUAUCCCUUAUACAGCUACAAACAACUUUGGUUGGAGGAAUCAAAGCUUGCUAUAAAUAGACGUCAGGCAGCUGUAGGAGCAAAUGCACAGCUCCACUCUUAAGAAUGACCUGUAAAAGACAACAGCUAAAUUCACCUCUGCAAACUGCAGCUGUAGUCUCACAGUCAGGAUAAGGAAAUUCCAAGAGCAAAUGACUGAGGAGGCAAUGAGAUAGGCUGGAAGGGUAUUUACAGAGGACUUCACACAGCAACAACACAUAAUGGAAACCUGGAAGGUCCAACCUCUGCUGCCACACCACCAUAAUAAAACAGGAGGCAUUACUUCUGGAGCAGCCUUUGUACAUUAAAAGAUGGUGACGGUAGUUCCAAAAUGGGGAGUCUCACUCACUGUGCUUCCAAAAUCACUGACGGCAGAAGGUGGGCUAUAAGGAAGCUGUUUGCUACAAAUGUGAUGCUGCCAACCUAACGGUAACUGUUUGAUCCCCUCAGUGGUUAAUGGUCAGCAUGUUGCAGAAGGGCACUGAUCAAUUCAUGAAUUCCAAAUAUGGAUACUUUUCCUCUCAGAACUCUAUCGUCCAAGAAGAGUUAUGAGGUAUAUGGAGCCUACUACCCUCAUUAAGCCACCCCCAUCCACAUGGAGCCUGAAGGUUUCUGACUGUUCACAACCUAGGGUGGCUUUCGGUCUGAGCUGUACUGAUAAUACAUCACUGAGGAUCACCACUGCAUACAGGACAGCAGAGGCUCUAUUUAAGAAUGUCUGGUUCAGGACCAAGCCAGUAUUUUCUCACGUGCACUGCAAAACAUUUAAA
ensembl:lncRNA